UACGUAGGGUGCAAGCGUUAAUCGGAAUUACUGGGCGUAAAGCGUGCGCAGGCGGUUUUGUAAGUCUGUUGUGAAAUCCCCGGGCUUAACCUGGGAAUGGCAAUGGAGACUGCAAGGCUAGAAUCUGGCAGAGGGGGGUAGAAUUCCACGUGUAGCAGUGAAAUGCGUAGAGAUGUGGAGGAACACCGAUGGCGAAGGCAGCCCCCUGGGUCAAGAUUGACGCUCAUGCACGAAAGCGUGGGGAGCGAACAGG
rnacentral:rRNA from 1 species